UGGUGCAACUCAGCUCAGAGGCGACGAGGCGUCGGUGCGCGUUUGGGGCUCCAGGGGCAGCAGCCCCGCUCUCGGAGGCCAGGCCCCGGGCUGCCAGCUCUGUCCUGACCUGUGUGCUCACAGCAGGGCUGGGAGGUCAGGGGGCCUUCCCGUGCCAACUGGAGUGGGUUCGAUGGUGGCCCCAAAAUAUGUCUAUGUCCUGAACCUUGGAACCUGUAACUGUGACCUUAUUUGGAAGUAGGGUCUUUGCAGAUGUGACUGAGCUGAGAUCCCAAGGUGGGAUUAUCCUGGGUUACCCGAGUGGACCCUAAAUCCAAGCGUGAAGGGAGGGGCCAGACAGACCAGAGGCAGCCUCCGUGGGGGCCCCCGUUAUGAGGGCAGGUACCAGGCCGGCGGCAAGACCCCCGUGCACGCGUGUGCAGCGUGGGCAAGGACAGCGGGACGGAGGCCGGGGGCUGGGGGGGGCCAUCCUGGAAGCUCAGACCCCGCAGGUCGCCUGCACGGCCGUGUGGCCCCGCCCUAGGAGCGGGCAGCGGCCCCCGCGUCUGUCUGUCUGUCCCACCAUUUUCUCCCACAGGGCUGCCCCGCCCAGCGUCCCUUUCCUGCAGGGUUGGGGCUUUCCAGCCAUUACUCACCGCUUUCCCGGUGUCUGUCCAUCAGCGGCUGCUCUGACUUGCCUGGAGCUUUUCAUGUAUCUUCACGCUGGUUAUGUAAGGAGAACUUUACGCGUAACCAGGGGGGCUCUGCUGUCCCAGGCCUGGGGGGCUGCACCAGCUCCCUAGGACGCUGGCCAAAGUCCCCAGAGCUCGGACGUGUCCAUGCAGUGGGCGCCCAGCCUGCUCGCACCCCCCAUGCACCCCCUUUCUGCCUCUGCCUUCCUCCUUCCUCUCGUAAUCAGACAGCAAGCAACGCUAGGCCGAAGGGCAGGCCCACCCCACCCCCUGCCUGGACAACGAUGCUUCUGGGACCCCGAAAGAGAGACAGAGUGAGGGUCCUGCUGAGAGGCCAGGUAAAGUGGGAGGUGACCCCAGCGCACCAGGAGAAGAGCGGGGAAGGACAGGAGCCAGCACGUCCCUGGGAGACCAGGCCACCUUGAGACUGAAGGAAGAGAGGCUGUGGCCAAGGCCCAGCUCACGCUGCAGAAGCUGCGCUACAGAGACAUGCAAAAGCAUCUUAGACGCAGCUGGCGGUGAGGGAAAAACGCCUCCGCUUCCCCCAGGCUCAGCCUCGGGGCUCCCAGCAGAGCACGGCAUUGGCCACACCGGGCCACAGGGCAGCAGAGCCUGGGACCCCCCCAGCCUCUGGGGUCAGGUCUGCCCCAGGAGCCGGGCUUGGCGAGGGGGUCUGGGGGCUCACGGACCCAGCACCUCACAUGCCCCGAGAGGCUGGGAAGGGAGGCGUCAGACGGGAGACCGCGGUCAAGGCCUCAGACUUCGCAGAGCCGAGCAUGCCUGGGCACGUGAGACGGAAGUCUCUGCAGCCCUCUGGCCAAAUAUGUGGGGAGAUGACUUCAUUUCACGCAGAGACUAACCGGCAGGAAGGUCGUGACCUAAAUGGACGAGGAGCUGAUAAGAAGCGGAGGAGAAAGGCAUCCGGGCCUCUUCCUGGGAACCAGCCGGUCAGGGGCACGCCGGGGGGACGGUCUGAGCUGCGUGCCCCUCGCUGCGGGGGCCUGACCUCCCGGCUCCUGAACAAGGACAGAACACAGCCCCUCCCCCAGAUAGUCCCGCUUAAAAAUACUACGGUUCAACCUGACAUUCCCGCGAUGGGGAAAUGGUCCUAAAAAGAAAAGUUUUCAGCACGUACACGGUUGCACUGUAAUCAUCUGUCGAAACGUGGAAUCCCUCCAUUUGCUGGAAAACGUUGGAUCUGAUUGCUGCCCGGUGCUGAGGUUGAGACUAAGAGGAUAUUAACUUCACGUCUAUAUUCUGAGGGGUUGCAAGUGUCGGGCCCUGCAGGGCAGAACCGUCUCCCCGACGUCGCGGCCGCUGUUCCUCCCUCUGAACCACCACUUCCUGUGCGGGAAUGGUCCCGAGGGUCCCCCGCGGGUCUGAGGGGGGAGGGCGGGGGUCCCUGCCCUCAGACAGAGCCAGGCAGGCUUGUCCACACAGAACAACACUGUCUGUUGUUUUUAUUAUUAUUUCUGCAGCCGCACCUCCUCAGGUCCCCCUUCCUAACCUGGAGCCUGCAACUAGCAACACCGCGGGUUCCCAGGACAUCAGCCUCACCAGGGCCUUUUCCUCCCAGCACCAAGGACCUCAUUUGGCCCUUGGGACGGCAUCAGUGAUCAUGGGCCGGAGCUCUGGGCCCAGAGCGCUGCAGAAUCACGUGGUUGCUCAGGAAAUGCA